rnacentral:rRNA from 1 species
GAUGAACGCUGGCGGCGUGCCUAAUACAUGCAAGUAGAACGCUAAAGGCGGGGCUUGCUCUUCUGGAUGAGUUGCGAACGGGUGAGUAACACGUAAGUAACCUGCCUUGUAGCGGGGGAUAACUAUUGGAAACGAUAGCUAAUACCGCAUGACAACAGUUGUUGCAUGGUAACUGUUGGAAAGUGGCAGCUGCUCCACUACCAGAUGGACCUGCGUUGUAUUAGCUAGUUGGUGAGGUAACGGCUCACCAUGGCGACGAUACGUAGUAGCCAUGAGAGGGGGAGUGGCCAGACUGAGAGGGAGACACGCCCCAGAGUCACACGGGAAGCAGCCGGAGGGAUACGGGGGCAAUGGACGGAAGUCUGUGCGAGAAACGCCGCGGGAGAGAAGAAGGUUGUCGGGUCGUAAAUCACGGCCGUAAGGUAAGAAAGAGUGUGCGAGUGGAACGUACAGACAGUGACGGUAACUGAUCAGAAAGCGACGGCUAACUACGUG